rnacentral:snRNA from 1 species
AUCACUUCUUGGCCUUUUGGCUAAGAUCAAGUGUAGUAUCUGUUCUUAUCAGUUUAAAAAGAUGGCUAUAUGACAAUGGAGACAGAGGUUGGAGUCAUGCAUCUAGAAGCCAAGAAAUACCAGGAUUGCCAGAAAACAC